UACAGAGGUCUCAAGCGUUGUUCGGAUUCAUUGGGCGUAAAGGGUGCGCAGGCGGCGUGGUAAGUCGGAUGUGAAAUCUCGGAGCUUAACUCCGAAACUGCAUUCGAUACUGCCGUGCUUGAGGACUGGAGAGGAGACUGGAAUUUACGGUGUAGCGGUGAAAUGCGUAGAUAUCGUAAGGAAGACCAGUGGCGAAGGCGGGUCUCUGGACAGUUCCUGACGCUGAGGCACGAAGGCCAGGGGAGCAAACGGG
rnacentral:rRNA from 1 species